AUGCCGACCCUGUGGAGGCAGCCGAGUCUGGAGUUCGACGUCAAGGUCGUCCGGGUCGCCGGCGUCGAGGCACGGCUCGAGGGCGGCCUCUUUGUGAGGUACUACGUCCCGGCCGGCGACGGGAGGCGCCGGAUCCGCGUGGACACGCGCGAGGUCCCGUGCGGCGCCGGGGGCGACGACGUGCUCUGGGGCGAGCGCGUGCGCUUCCAGCUGGCGGCCAACGGCGGGGCCGUCGCCUCGCCGGUCAAGGUCGCGUUCGAGCUCCGGUGGAGGCCGCGCUCGUCGUCGUCCGGGCUGGCGGCGUUCCUGGGGACAGGGAGAGGGAGGCCGUCGUCGCGCGUGCUGGCGCGAGCCGAUCACGCCUUGUCGACGGGCGCGGAAUCGGCGUCGGCGGAGAGCUGGCUGAGACUCUCGCCGGCGGGCCGGGAGCUGGGCGGCGGGUGCAAGGCGCCCAAGUUGCUCGCUGAGGUCAAGGUCGUCCACGCCGUAGCGGCUGCCGAUCGCGUAGCCGUGCAAGCGAGGAAGUUCGGCGGCGUGAACGAGUGCUGCCGUGGCGGCGAGCGCUGCGGUAGCUGCGGCUGGGUCGGGACCGAGGAUGACAUGUUCCUUGCGGCGACGUUUACUCAAUAG
rnacentral:rRNA from 1 species